GUGGACGCCAGUCUGCAUGGAGCCGACCUUGAAAUACCACCCUUUAAUGUUUGAUGUUCUAACGUGGACCCGUGAUCCGGGUUGCGGACAGUGUCUGGUGGGUAGUUUGACUGGGGCGGUCUCCUCCUAAAGAGUAACGGAGGAGCACGAAGGUUGGCUAAUCCUGGUCGGACAUCAGGAGGUUAGUGCAAUGGCAUAAGCCAGCUUGACUGCGAGCGUGACGGCGCGAGCAGGUGCGAAAGCAGGUCAUAGUGAUCCGGUGGUUCUGAAUGGAAGGGCCAUCGCUCAACGGAUAAAAGGUACUCCGGGGAUAACAGGCUGAUACCGCCCAAGAGUUCAUAUCGACGGCGGUGUUUGGCACCUCGAUGUCGGCUCAUCACAUCCUGGGGCUGAAGUAGGUCCCAAGGGUAUGGCUGUUCGCCAUUUAAAGUGGUACGCGAGCUGGGUUUAGAACGUCGUGAGACAGUUCGGUCCCUAUCUGCCGUGGGCGCUGGAGAACUGAGGGGGGCUGCUCCUAGUACGAGAGGACCGGAG
rnacentral:rRNA from 1 species